rnacentral:rRNA from 1 species
UAGGGAAUCUUCCGCAAUGGACGCAAGUCUGACGGAGCAACGCCGCGUGAGUGAAGAAGGAUUUCGGUUCGUAAAACUCUGUUGUUAGAGAAGAACAGCGCAUAGAGUAACUGUUAUGCGUGUGACGGUAUCUAACCAGAAAGCCACGGCUAACUACGUGCCAGCAGCCGCGGUAAUACGUAGGUGGCAAGCGUUGUCCGGAUUUAUUGGGCGUAAAGCGAGCGCAGGCGGUCAAUUAAGUCUGAUGUGAAAGCCCCCGGCGCAACCGGGGAGGGUUAUUGGAAACUGGUUAACUUGGGUGCAGAAGAGGAGAGUGGAAUUCCAUGUGUAGCGGGGAAAUGCGUAGAUAUAUGGAGGAACACCAGUGGCGAAGGCGACUCUCUGGUCUGUAACUGACGCUGAGGUUCGAAAGCGUGGGUAGCAAACAGG